UAUGGCCAUAUCAUGUUCAAACACAGAUUCUCAUAUAAACACUGAAAUUAAGUAAUGUCGAGCCUGGUCAGUACUUAGAUGGUUGACCACUUGGAAAUACCAAGUGCUGCAAGC